rnacentral:lncRNA from 1 species
AUGGGCUUCAGGGUGCUUGAGAGGGCUCAGGCCUUUGGGCUGGGUGCAGACACAUCGCUUCUCCCACCAUGCCUCCCCUGGGGCCCUUGCUCAGCCUCUCUGGUCCCCUUGUGUCUUUCAGGGGACUGCGCUGGCCAGGAUCUCGCCACCACCUCAACAAGGCUUGGGAAGAUUAGCAGCCACCCGGAAGGUCAACUACAUAGAGGGCUUGCUCCGAUCUGGACUGAAUAUGAAUGCAGUCGAUCAUGCCGCUGCACUGUUCUUCACACCACGACAGCUGGGUCCAGUCUUGACAGGAGGCCAAAGGCUCCACCCACAAGGCACAUGGCUUGUCAGCAACAACACAGAGCACCAGUGUGUCCAGGCCACAUCCACCAACAAGCCCGAUGCCCUCUGCAAGUCCGGUUGACACAGGGCAAGAGCCAUGAGCACCCAAGCUCUGGCAGCCUUCCCGGGAGCUCUCGCUCUCUGGGCACACAGGGAUCUCCCUGCUUGGGCGGACGGUGGGUCUGCCGGGACUCGACGUGCCAUGGGGCCCUCCCAUGACGCCCAAAGGUCUGCCUCCCCGAGCCCUCAAGGGCUCCGCAUCUACUAAGGCCAUACUGCCCUGACCAGAAUGCCGGCCAAGGCCAGGUACCAGCCAUCCUGGUCUCAGCCCGCCAAGUUGCCCACAGCCCGACCACCCAAGGGGUACCCAAGGGAAACCCUGGUGCCCAACCUGUGCCAGGCUGUGGGUCCCGUGGCUCAACCCCCUUGGGGGAGCCUUCGUGUGGCUGUUCGUGUAUACCAGCACAGGCUCGGGGCCACGUGAACACUUGGGCCCUCCUCUGCUUCCACCAGGUGGGCUGCCCCCCGCAAUCCUGAACCUCGAAAUCCUCGUUGAGCCUCCUCCUCUCUCAGGGAAGUCCACAGGGAAGCUUAGCGGCCACUCAGAUGGGCGUCUAGACGGAGGGCUUGCUCCUAUCCCAAAGAGGCUGGACCCGGUCGAUCGUGCCGCCGCACCCUUCUGAACACUACGUCAGCUGCGUCCACUCUUGAGAGGAGGAUCAAAGGCUCCAGCCCAGAAGGCACGAAACUCAUCAGCAAGCACUGCCAGUAAGCCGUUUCAGGGGCAGACGCCCACACACGUGGCAAGGGCUGUGCUUGGGUCAGUGAUGAGAAUUCAUAUUGUCUCGAAGAGAGAUGAGGACUUAAAAAUCAUGCUCAAUAGGAUUAUGCUGAGGCCCAGUGGAGUGGAGUGGACCGUCCCGGGCAGAGGAUCCGGGUGCUCCGGUUGUGCUGGGGGUACUUCCCCUCAGCCUGCAGUUUCAGGCCCCGGAUCCUGCCAAAUUGCCUUUUGCGGCUAGCAUCUGGACGUGGGCCUCUGUCGGCCCGAGAGAGCUUAGUCGUUCAGGCCUGGGACCGACCCACCACUCCUCCCACCACACCUACCCUGGGACCCUUGCUCAACCUCUCCGGUGCCCUUGUGUCUUUCAGGGGGCCGUGCUGUCCGGGCCCUCGGCCCCGCCUCAACUAAGUUUGGUGAGUUGAUGCCACGAGGCGAUUCAAAGUCCAGGGGACCAAGGGGCCUUCGGGAGGCAAGCCUGAGGGUGAUUUGGGUCCCUGUGUGAAGGCCAGGCCCACCCGUGCAGGGAUACAUAGUGUCGCUGCCUUUGAAGGGCCACCAUCCCCUGGGUGCAGGAAGAAUGGGCCCAAAUGUAGCCAGGGAAGCCCAGAGGGACCCAGCGUGUGCGGCUGGGGUGGGGGAUGGGGGACAAAACCAGGCUGCGGGAGGAGGUGGACUCCUGUUGCCCCCUGUUAAUCACUAUGGGGUGCCCCUCGGUGGACUUGGGGUCCCCUCUCCUGUGGAUACCUGGAGCCCCUCAACCGGGACGUGCAGCGUCUAGCCACCGCUGCUUGCGGUGGUGCCCUCGGCUGGCAUCCCCCGGACAUCCCCUGGGGCCUGCCCCCUGCCAAGGAGGUUGGCAAUGGCUGCCCAGGUCCGGGGUCUGAUUCCCUCACAUGGCCUUGGCAUUGUGGAAGGCAAGG